UUUGUAGAAACUAGAAACCCUUUAGAUCUACGAGCAGCUGCUCCCUCCGUCUCGCUCACUCAACGAAGACUCCCCCCACCUCCCUUAAUAAUCGGCGGUUUGAUGGCUUCGAAUCAAAGCCAGUCUUCUCCUCCAGAAGCAGCGCUCCGAGAUCUUUGCCGGAACCCGGUGGAUGGGUUCUCCGCGGGGUUGGUGGACGAGACCAACGUGUUCGAGUGGAGCGUCUCCAUAAUUGGUCCUCCCGACGAUCUAUAGAUGAUGACUAUGGCUGUUUUGCCUGGAUUCAACUCCACAUUUGGCGACAAAGAGAUGAUUUCCUAAUUGAAGUUUGAGAAGGAAUUGAUGGCUUAGAGAGUAGAAAUGGUGGAAAACAAGCUGAGUAUCACUGAGCAAUAGUUCAACACGGUAUGUUGUUGGAAAGUACUGAGCAUGUGGUGAACAUGAGACAACAAUGUGCAAGUUUAAGUCUUGAGAUUGACAAAAAGGGAGAGACAGACAGAAGAUAUGGUCAUACUGAGUGACCAUUGCUGAAACAACGAUGUUGGUUUCUACUUGGUCGUUGCUUUUUGUGUGACCAUUGCUGAAACAACGAUGUUGGUUUCUACUUGGCCGUUGCUUUUUGUGGGAGGGAUUGCUCCCAAGACAUAAGGGAAUUGUACUAGAGAAUGUGGGUUUUUUUUUUUUUUUUUUCCAAACUGAUGAGUUGAUGUAUGUUAAACACUUGUGGGGUUGCACACUGAUUAAUGCACAAAUGUGGUUUGUUCUAGCA